AUUGAACGCUGGCGGCAGGCCUAACACAUGCAAGUCGAGCGAGUGGCGGAUGGGUGAGUAAUGUCUGGGAAACUGCCUGAUGGAGGGGGAUAACUACUGGAAACGGUAGCUAAUACUGCAUACCAUCAGAUGUGCCCAUAUGGGAUUAGCUUGUAGGUGAGGUAACGGCUCACCUAGGCGACGAUCCCUAGCUGGUCUGAUAGGAUGACCAGCCACACUGGAACUGAGACACGGUCAAGACUCCUACGGGAGGCAGCAGUGGGAAAUAUUGCACAAUGGGCGAAAGCCUGAUGCAGCCAUGCCGCGUGUAUGAAGAAGGCCUUCGGGUUGUAAAGUACUUUCAGCGAGGAGGCGUUACCCGCAGAAGAAGCGCCGGCUAACUCCGUGCCAGCAGCCGCGGUAAUAC
rnacentral:rRNA from 1 species